UCAGCGACUUGCUCCGCCGUAUGUCCCUUUAAGUGCACAUAGACCAGAACAAGUGGCUCCGCUGCUGAGGGGUUUUACACAUCAGGAUGUCCGGACCCCUGCAGCAGGCAGUGGGAUGACAGAAACUUACCUCGAGGCAGUGAUG